rnacentral:rRNA from 1 species
AACGAACGCUGGCGGCAGGCCUAACACAUGCAAGUCGAGCGAAGCCUUCGGGCUUAGCGGCGGACGGGUGAGUAACGCGUGGGAACGUGCCCUUUGGUACGGAAUAGCCCCGGGAAACUGGGAGUAAUACCGUAUGUGGUCGAGAGACGAAAGAUUUAUCGCCAAAGGAUCGGCCCGCGUUGGAUUAGGUAGUUGGUGGGGUAAUGGCCUGCCAAGCCGACGAUCCAUAGCUGGUUUGAGAGGAUGAUCAGCCACACUGGGACUGAGACACGGCCCAGACUCCUACGGGAGGCAGCAGUGGGGAAUCUUAGUCAAUGGGGGAAACCCUGAUCUAGCCAUGCCGCGUGAUCGAUGAAGGCCUUAGGGUUGUAAAGAUCUUUCAGUGGGGAAGAUAAUGACUGUACCCACAGAAGAAGCCCCGGCUAACUCCGUGCCAGCCGCCGCUGUAACAC